rnacentral:rRNA from 1 species
ACGCCGCGUGAGGGAUGACGGCCUUCGGGUUGUAAACCUCUUCCAGUAGGGACGAAGCUAACGUGACGGUACCUACAGAAGAAGCACCGGCCAACUACGUGCCAGCAGCCGCGGUAAUACGUAGGGUGCGAGCGUUGUCCGGAAUUAUUGGGCGUAAAGGGCUCGUAGGCGGUUUGUCGCGUCGGGAGUGAAAACUCGGGGCUUAACUCCGAGCCUGCUUCCGAUACGGGCAGACUAGAGGUAUGCAGGGGAGAACGGAAUUCCUGGUGUAGCGGUGAAAUGCGCAGAUAUCAGGAGGAACACCGGUGGCGAAGGCGGUUCUCUGGGCAUUACCUGACGCUGAGAGCGAAAGUGUGGGGAGCGAACAGGAUUAGAUACCCUGGUAGUCCACACCGUAUACGUUGGGCGCUAGGUGUGGGACUCAUUCCACGAGUUCCGUGCCGCAGCUAACGCAUUAAGCGCCCCGCCUGGGGAGUACGGCCGCAAGGCUAAAACUCAAAUGAA